GUGGUGCAGGAUCUGGCCCUGGCGAGGGGCUUGUUGCCGGCUUCAGCUGCUCUCUAAUUGGGAUCACCCUGAUGGGUUGCAGAAAUGAUGCUCCCAAUAGGCCGGAACGAGCUUCCCUAAGAAAAGCUGGAAUCACGUCUCUCAGCAUGGUAGUCUGGCUGAUGCGAAAUAAAAGCCUAAUUUGGAAAACCUGAGCUCUACGAUUUCUCUGGCAGUGAGCACUGCACUUACUCUUUUAUAAAAGCCUUGGCUGGGAAAAGCAUUUUGGAUCCAACUUCCCCCAAGUGUGUGUGAUCGCUACUGGAUGGUACCACAAGCACUUUGCCAGUUGCAAGAUCCAGGCCACACCAUACGAGAGCCUCAACAAUCUGAUCUCAUUUAGACACGAGACAGUUUGGAGAGGAAUAUGCUGUCACUUGGUUUUGUGCAGAGGUAACGGGCUGUCUUCUUCCAGCAGCUUCCACAAACACUAGGAACGAGUGCUGGGAGGUUUUUCCAUGGGCUGUGGGCAACUCCCAUGCAAUGCAAGUUGCAGAUAUGCUGAUGUGUCCCAGGCUCG